rnacentral:rRNA from 1 species
UAAAUUAAAAAAAUUCAGGCGAACUAUGUAAGGAGGUCCAGCCUGCCCAGUGACUACAGUUCAACGGCCGCGGUAUUUUGACCGUGCAAAGGUAGCGCAAUCACUUGUCUUUUAAAUAGAGACCUGUAUGAAUGGCUAAACGAGGGCUUAACUGUCUCCCCUUUCCAGUCAGUAAAAUUGAUCUGCCCGUGCAGAAGCGGACAUAAAAAUACAAGACGAGAAGACCCUUUGGAGCUUAAGGUACAAAACUCAACCACGUCAAGCGACUCAAUAAAAAGCAAAAACUUUGUGGAAUAUGAGAUUUUACCUUCGGUUGGGGCGACCACGGAGGAAAACAAAGCCUCCAAGUGGAUUGGGACAAACCUCCUAAAACCAAGAGAGACAUCUCUAAGCCACAGAACAUCUGACCAAACAUGAUCCGGCUGCCCGAAGCCGAUCAACGAACCAAGUUACCCUAGGGAUAACAGCGCAAUCCUCUCCCAGAGUCCAUAUCGACGAGAGGGUUUACGACCUCGAUGUUGGAUCAGGACAUCCUAAUGGUGCAGCCGCUAUUAAGGGUUCGUUUGUUCAACGAUUAAAGUCCUACGUGAUCUGAGUUCAAAACCGGAGAAAAC